rnacentral:lncRNA from 1 species
GAAGAGGUCAAGACGAUCAGCGGCAUAAUCAACUCGGCCCCGUCGGUGGACGACGAUGAGGACGACAUGUUCUCGGAGAUCGAGAGCCUCCUGGGCGGGGAGAUCGACAUCCCGAUACCGGGCGACAGGUUUGAGCGGUCCCGGUACAACGCGCACAUGGCCAACAACGCCGCCGAGAUGGAGCGGCUGCGCGGCCUGGUGAGGGAGCUGGAGGAGCGGGAGGUGAAGCUCGAGGGCGAGCUGCUCGAGUACUACGGCCUCAAGGAGCAGGAGACCGACGUGUCCGAGCUGCAGAAGCAGCUCAAGAUCAAGACGGUGGAGGUCGACAUGCUCAACAUCACCAUCAGCUCGCUGCAGGCCGAGAGAAAGAAGCUGCAGGAGGAUGUUGCCCGUGGCGCUGCCGCCAAGAAGGAGCUCGACGCGUCCAGGAGCAGGAUCAAGGAGCUGCAGCGCCAGAUACAGAUGGAGGCUAACCAGACCAAAGGCCAGCUGAUGCUGCUCAAGCAACAGGUGAUGGGGCUCAGGGCCAAGGAGGAGGAGGUGGCCAAGAAGGACGCCGAGAUCGAACAGAAGCUCAAGAAGCUCAAGAACCUGGAGGUGGAGGUGCUUGAGCUGAGGAGGAAGAACAAGGAGCUGCUGUAUGAGAAGAGGGACCUCAUGGUGAAGCUGGAUGCAGCACAAGGAAAAAUAACAGAGGUAUAGCACUACUCUAUUUCUGUUACUAUUCAUCUGCAAAGUUUGUAAAACCUUUUGCAUUUUAGUACAUGACACAAGAAUAUUCAGCAACAUUUUUUUUAGCCUAAUCAUUUGCAUGGUCCUGGACGGUCCAAGCUUCUGUGGUAGACUAGCAGUGGUUCUGCUACGUUUGUGGAUUUGUCUCUAUCCAUAUAGUGUACAGGCCUAUCCUCUUAGUUUGUCUCUAGUUCAAAAUUAGGAUUCUGCUUUUGUUUUCACUUGUAAAAGGUAGGACCUAAUGAUAUGCAGUCUCUUUUAUAUUGCUUUUUUCCUAAGAAAAAAACAAACAAAUCAAUCAAUAAGAUUCAUCAGAAGGACCGCAAGUUUUGACUUUACGAUUAAACAUGAUAGCAUGAUUUUCACCACGACAUUAUCAUCUGGGCAAGAAAUUGAACAGUUUUCUAGUAUCAGGAUAAACGCAAUUUUCUUCCCUGUUCAGUAGAACAAACAAUCAGCUGAGGUGCUUUUCUAUACUGAGAGUUAGUAUUCAGACCCAAUCACCCAAAUCACAAUUCCAGAAGUUCUACAAAGGAAGAAUGCUACCUAGUAAUUAAUUUUUAGCCAGUGUUGGACUGUAUUUAAUACUUUUUCAUGACAUACUUCUCCAAUAAUGUACGUAUGACAUAUCAUCAUCAUGCAGAGUGAUGUAGUUGCCCAUGCAAGAGAGGAGAUCAAUAACCUGAGACAUACAAAUGAGGACCUCACAAAGCAAGUGGAAGGCCUACAGAUGAACAGAUUCAGUGAAGUAGAGGAGCUGGUGUACCUGCGUUGGGUCAACGCCUGUCUGCGAUUCGAGCUCCGCAACUACCAGACACCAUCGGGCAAAAUCUCUGCCCGCGACCUCAGCACGAAGCUCAGCCCAAAGUCUCAGGAGAGGGCCAAACAGAUGAUGCUCGAAUUUGGGUCUGAGCGAGGCCAGGGCGACACUGACCUUGACAGUGUCUCCUCGGCACCUUCUUCCCCCAGAAGCGAAGACUUCGACACCGCUUCGAUCGACAGCUCUUCCAGCAGAUACAGCUUCCUAAGCAAGAGGCCGAACCUGAUGCAGAAACUCAAGAAGUGGGGAAGGAGCAAGGAUGAUGGCAGCUAUUUGUCAUCUCCGUCAUCGCGGUCCCUGACCAGUAGCUCUCCGAAGAGGAGCCAGAAACCAAAGGGCCCCCUGGAAUCUCUCAUGAUCAGAAAUGCAGGAGAUGGUAUGUCCAUUACAACAUUUGGAAAAAGGGAUCAAGAAUCCGGUGACAUAGAUGAUGCAAAUGUUGCAUCUUCAUUCCAGUUGAUGUCGAAGAAUGUUGAAGGCUUCGCUGAUGAAAAGUAUCCCGCUUACAAAGACCGGCAUAAGCUUGCGACGGAACGGGAGAAGGCGAUAAAAGAGAAGGCCGAGCAAGCCAGAGCACAAAGGUUUGGUGGUGGCUAUAGUUCAGCUCUAGCUCCUUCCCCGAGAGCUGCACUUCCCCCCAAACUCGCUCAAAUAAAGGAGAAGAAGGCCCCUGCAGUCAAUGCUGAAUCCGGCGAGCAAUCUAGUGAUAUCCCGAACAACCCCCUGGCUGUCACCCAGUUGAAGCUUGCCCAAAUUGAGAAGAGAGCUCCAAGAGUCCCCCGUCCACCUCCCACUUCAUCGGCCGCUGCUUCAGGAGCUACGAAUACUGCAAGUGGUGGGCCACCGAUGCCGCCACGCCCACCAGGUGCACCUCCUCCACCACCACCUCCAGG